UGCAGUCGAGCGGUAACAGAUCUAGCUUGCUGGAUGCUGACGAGCGGCGGACGGGUGAGUAAUGCAUAGGAAUCUGCCCGAUAGUGGGGGAUAACCUGGGGAAACCCAGGCUAAUACCGCAUACGUCCUACGGGAGAAAGGGGGCUCCGGCUCCCGCUAUGGGAUGAGCCUAUGUCGGAUUAGCUAGUUGGUGAGGUAACGGCUCACCAAGGCCACGAUCCGUAGCUGGUCUGAGAGGAUGAUCAGCCACAUCGGGACUGAGACACGGCCCGAACUCCUACGGGAGGCAGCAGUGGGGAAUAUUGGACAAUGGGGGAAACCCUGAUCCAGCCAUGCCGCGUGUGUGAAGAAGGCCCUCGGGUUGUAAAGCACUUUCAGCGAGGAAGAACGCCUAGCGGUUAAUACCCGCUAGGAAAGACAUCACUCGCAGAAGAAGCACCGGCUAACUCCGUGCCAGCAGCCGCGGUAAUACGGAGGGUGCAAGCGUUAAUCGGAAUUACUGGGCGUAAAGCGCGCGUAGGUGGCUUGAUAAGCCGGUUGUGAAAGCCCCGGGCUCAACCUGGGAACGGCAUCCGGAACUGUCAAGCUAGAGUGCAGGAGAGGAAGGUAGAAUUCCCGGUGUAGCGGUGAAAUGCGUAGAGAUCGGGAGGAAUACCAGUGGCGAAGGCGGCCUUCUGGACUGACACUGACACUGAGGUGCGAAAGCGUGGGUAGCAAACAGGAUUAGAUACCCUGGUAGUCCACGCCGUAAACGAUGUCGACCAGCCGUUGGGUGCCUAGCGCACUUUGUGGCGAAGUUAACGCGAUAAGUCGACCGCCUGGGGAGUACGGCCGCAAGGUUAAAACUCAAAUGAAUUGACGGGGGCCCGCACAAGCGGUGGAGCAUGUGGUUUAAUUCGAUGCAACGCGAAGAACCUUACCUACUCU
rnacentral:rRNA from 1 species